rnacentral:rRNA from 1 species
UACGUAGGGUGCAAGCGUUGUCCGGAAUUAUUGGGCGUAAAGAGCUCGUAGGCGGUUUGUCGCGUCUGCUGUGAAAACCCGAGGCUCAACCUCGGGCCUGCAGUGGGUACGGGCAGACUAGAGUGCGGUAGGGGAGAUUGGAAUUCCUGGUGUAGCGGUGGAAUGCGCAGAUAUCAGGAGGAACACCGAUGGCGAAGGCAGGCC